UACAGAGGUCUCAAGCGUUGUUCGGAUUCAUUGGGCGUAAAGGGUGCGUAGGCGGCGCGGUAAGUCGGGUGUGAAAUCCUGGAGCUCAACUCCAGAACUGCCUUUGAUACUGGCGAGCUUGAGUUCGGGAGAGGUGAGUGGAACUGCGAGUGUAGAGGUGAAAUUCGUAGAUAUUCGCAAGAACACCAGUGGCGAAGGCGGCUCACUGGCCCGAUACUGACGCUGAGGUGCGAAAGCGUGGGGAGCAAACAGG
rnacentral:rRNA from 1 species